GCAAGCCAAGUAUCAAGUAUCAU
rnacentral:snRNA from 1 species